rnacentral:rRNA from 1 species
GACGAACGCUGGCGGCGUGCUUAACACAUGCAAGUCGAACGGAAAGGCCCCUUUGGGGGUACUCGAGUGGCGAACGGGUGAGUAACACGUGAGUAACCUGCCCUUGACUUCGGGAUAACUUCAGGAAACUGGGGCUAAUACCGGAUAGGAAUCCUUGCUGCAUGGUGGGGGUUGGAAAGCUUCGGCGGUUUUGGAUGGACUCGCGGCUUAUCAGCUUGUUGGUGGGGUAGUGGCUUACCAAGGCUUUGACGGGUAGCCGGCCUGAGAGGGCGACCGGCCACAUUGGGACUGAGAUACGGCCCAGACUCCUACGGGAGGCAGCAGUGGGGAAUAUUGCACAAUGGGCGGAAGCCUGAUGCAGCAACGCCGCGUGCGGGAUGACGGCCUUCGGGUUGUAAACCGCUUUCAGCAGGUGCGAAGCUUGUGGUGACGGUACCUGCAGAAGAAGCACCGGCUAACUACGUG